AGAAUCAACGCUGGCGGCGUGCCUAACACAUGCAAGUCGAACGCGAAAGUCCCGCAAGGGGCAAGUAGAGUGGCAAACGGGUGAGUAACGCGUGGGUGACCUACCUUAGAGUGGGGGAUAACCUUCCGAAAGGAGGGCUAAUACCGCAUGACAUCCUAUGUUUAGAGACAUGGUGAUCAAAGCCGGGGAUCGCAAGACCUGGCGCUUGAAGAGGGGCCCGCGUCCGAUUAGCUAGUUGGUGGGGUAACGGCUCACCAAGGCUCCGAUCGGU
rnacentral:rRNA from 1 species